UCUUUUCCUCAGAACUAUCAAAUCCAUCUUCAGAAACUUGACAUCUCCAUUGCCUUUGUUCUAGGAAGCAGCAUUGGAUUAUCUCUGGACCCAAAUUUGUGGCAUAGAAAUAUCACAAGUGGAAAAUCUACAUCUGGAAAAACAGAGACUGAGUUUGUCCACAGUUUGGAAAGCUUCCAGAAAAUAAUGGCUACAGGAACUAUCAAGUGCUACCACAAUGCAAGAAAUGAUUGAUCUGGCUAAGAUCAUAUUACUGGCUUCCUCCUGGUCAAGUGUCCAGAGGUCUACUGAGAAAUGUUCUUGGAAACCUAAACAGAAAAAGCCUAAAACCUCAUUAAUAAUUUGGACAUCAAGAAAAGGCUGUGUAAACUACUUGCUUACACUUUACUAAUGUGUUUGCAUUUUUUUUUCAUUGUUUGUUUUUAUUUUUUGUAAAUUAUC
rnacentral:lncRNA from 1 species